rnacentral:sRNA from 1 species
UUGAGUUUUUUGUUUUGGCAUCUACUGGAACUAUGGCAUCCCGCAGAUGAUAUUGAGGAGGCACCAGAUGUUACAUUUUCAGAGAACUGUGAUGAAGAGAUGUUGCAGAAAUCCUAACUAUUGAAGUGCAAAAUUUUAGUGAUGGUCUUUCAUUAGCUUCCCAGAUCACGAAAUAGGUAGUAACACACAUGUACCUGAUAUUAGAGCCUAACAUAACAAAUGAGGUAGUCCAGAAAGAAAAAUUGUGAACUCACUUCAAGCAUUCAACUUUACUUGAGUACAUGAGUGCAUGAACUUUCUGAAAAGUUGAAUGUAGACAGAUCCUUGUACUGUUUUAUAAAACCUGCAAGGAAUCUUCAUCAGAAAAAGAAGAAUUGUUGUUGCAAAAUAUUGUUAAGAACUUAGCCUCAAUGCUUCAUCUUAGAUGAUGAACCUGUAAAAACUUAGCCUCAAUUGUUAAGAACCUA